AAAUUCUCAAACCACAUUGAUUCUUUCCAUGUGGCUUGGAAGUGGGGGGUAGUGUUUUUGCAGGCUUUUAUUUUAAAAUGAAGUCUGCUCCCCUGAAAUGCAUUAGUGGUAUCUGAGCAGAAGAAACUACUACAGGUGUGAUAAUUUAUCUAUGCCCUUGGUAUGCUGCAUGAACAGAUUGCACUGCUUAUAACAAACUUUAUUAUUUUGUUU
rnacentral:misc_RNA from 1 species